CCCUCUACAUACCCCACUCCUCCCAUCCGUUUGGAACAACAAACACUAAUAUUGUCAAAUUUCUGGGUUUGUUCACUUUGUUGUUAGAGAAAUCAGGGGAACGAUCUACACAAUCUACAGGUGAAUCAGCUCUCACCUACAGUUAGAGAAAAUUCAACAGCUUGGAGGAUAUGGUGCUUCUCUCUAGUUCUGUUAGAGGUUUGGGGAUUCUCGAUUUCCAUCUUCCCACAUUUUAUCAGCCGUACGUCUCUCUCAGUUCAAAAUAAUGAGCUUUAGUUUGUUGGAGGAAAAUUAGCAAGAAGAUAAGAUCCAAAGCUUGCGUCAAUUUCUAGCUUCUCUUCAUACUGCUCAUCUUCACCUUGCUGCGACUAAUAAUCUGGAAACAUUCUUGAAGCUUCUCUUCAUACUGCUCAUCUUCACCUUGCUGCGACUAAUAAUCUGGAAACAUUCUUG